UACAGAGGGGGCAAGCGUUGUUCGGAAUUACUGGGCGUAAAGGGCGCGUAGGCGGCCUGCUAAGUCGAACGUGAAAUCCCUGGGCUCAACCCAGGAACUGCGUCCGAUACUGGUUGGCUUGAAUCCGGGAGAGGGAUGUGGAAUUCCAGGUGUAGCGGUGAAAUGCGUAGAUAUCUGGAGGAACACCGGUGGCGAAGGCGACAUCCUGGACCGGCAUUGACGCUGAGGCGCGAAAGCCAGGGGAGCAAACAGG
rnacentral:rRNA from 1 species